CUAGACAAUUCUUUAGAGCAGAGAAGAAGCUACGAACAUUCUGGAUGCUGCUUCAAACCCUGGUAGCCCACCCUGGCGUUCUUCUAUUCAAUCGAUUGCAACUGAUGACCAAGCCUUAGCUUUGUAUUCUGAGAAUUUCUCAAGAGCACCUCUGAGGUCUGUUGCUUUUCUUAUUAAUUCAAUUUUCAUGUCUGUCUAAGGACAUAACAACAACUGCAUGCUCAUGAUUGGAAGUGGCAUUGGCUAGUUGGCAAAGUUGCCCUAGCUGUUUUCGGUUUAUUGCACUAGGCUACUUGUGUUAAUUGGUAAAGUUUUAUUAUGUGAGGCUGAUAGGCCAUUCACACGUUUCCAUUUGCUAUGUCGGCCUGAAGGAUCCGACCAUAGCUAUCACAUUAACAUGCUUUUUCAAAUUUCAACCGUAUUUUGUGACUAUACAAAGAGUUAAGUGUGUUCUCUGCUCGGCUUGUGAUCAGGGCAUGAAUGUUCAUCAAAUCAAUAUUUUUUUGUCAGAUGUUGUAGUUGUGACUGCCCUGGUAGCUGUGUAUGGAAAAUGUUGAAGCUCAGAUAAAGUGUAUGAACUGUUUGACUGAAUGCCUUAAAUAAAUGUUGUCUCAAUACAUUUUUAGCAAGUGCAAAUUGGCAGGCAUUAAGCUUAAUUUCAAAUAUCUUAGCGAACCGGAUUGAUUUAUCCAGUUCACUGUGCACUGAGGCAGGGAGGAUGUUGGCAAAGGUUGUGCAAUUUGGCUUUACAACUACCGACAAGCGCUCGCUAGAUACCCUGCUUUAACUACAGAAAUCUUUCUAGUCCAAGAUUUAGAAAGAGUAUAUAUAUUGUGAUCCUUGUCUUGUACAAUUUCGGCAUUUGGAUCCUUUGUUUGAAAAUUUGUUUAAAGCAUGAAAUCUUUAGAGGGCGACUUAUUUUUAAUUGAGGUUUGAGUGGAUUCAAAGAGCCGGAGAAUUCUUUCCUCGCCACAUAAAGUUGGAAUAGUUCUACGAUUUAUUCCAUUCAAUUAGCUUUUAAUACCAGACAAGUUUUCUGUGGAUUUGAA